rnacentral:tRNA from 2 species
GGCCUCGUAGUCUAGUCUGGAUAUGAUAUCAGCCUUCUAAGCUGAGGGUCGAGGGUUCGAAUCCCUCCGGGGUCG